CCCCUCCUCCCUCUCUAGUCAGUGAGAUGGUGAAAUAAAUGUUCUGGAAAAAGGUUAACCCUCCCGGCUCUGGCUUGCAAUCAGCGAGGGGGUUAACCCCUUCAGACUUUCCCGGCCGUAAAUGCUUGCCUGGAGCAGAGCUGAAAAGCAUCUUUGGGUGGGUUACCAUUCUUCUCCCACCCCCCAGUCAGUCCUUCUGCUCCCCGGAGGGUUUUCGGAAAGCUGUGUUUUUAAUAGAGCUUUUCAGCAAGCCCAAGUGUAAGGCUUUGAGUCAUCAGAACCCGGAUGUAAACACAGCAGCCCUACAUUCUGCACAGUUUGCGUGUAUUUUAUCUUUUUUUAAUAAUAUUUAGCUGGCAACUUAAAACUGCAAGCAUGCCAGCUAUUUUAGCCAGCCGCUUACAUCAUGUGGCCUCCAUCUUUGGGAGAGUGGUUGCCGGUCCUUGCCUUGUUUCUCAGGUCCCCGCCCCACACUGCAGGCAAUCUGGGUCCUUCUGGAGGCAUCUUGUUGCCACUUAGCAAACCCCGACCCUUAGAGCAUGACAUCAGCUGAGCAACAAAGACAGAGAGGACAGGUUCCUGACAGAGACAAGACAUUGGGUGUCUUGCCAGUGGUGGAAAACUAUCCCCGAAGGAAUCCAGGCGGAGGUGGCAGGGCCGGCCUCCUACCGAUGUGGGAAGAAUGGCGGGCCACACCCUGAGUUCUCUCUGUCACCCUGGCUUUCUUGGUGUUCUGCUUGUAUAUAUGCCUGUGCACCUUGUACAUGCAGUGUGCCCUUGAAGACCAGAAGAGGUCAUUGGAUCCCCUUGGAAGUUAUAGAAAGUUGUGAGCCACCAGAUGUGCACUGGGAACUUGAAUCAAGUUCUCUGGAAGAGCAACCAGAAACAGGGAGAGAGA